rnacentral:rRNA from 1 species
GACGAACGCUGGCGGCACGCUUAACACAUGCAAGUCGAACGGAGAUAAUUUGAGUUUACUUGGAUUAUCUUAGUGGCGGACGGGUGAGUAACACGUGAGCAACCUGCCUUUGAGAGAGGGAUAGCUUCUGGAAACGGAUGGUAAUACCUCAUAACAUAAUUGAAGGGCAUCCUUUGAUUAUCAAAGAUUUAUCACUCAAAGAUGGGCUCGCGUCUGAUUAGAUAGUUGGUGAGGUAACGGCUCACCAAGUCGACGAUCAGUAGCCGGACUGAGAGGUUGAACGGCCACAUUGGGACUGAGACACGGCCCAGACUCC